rnacentral:rRNA from 1 species
GACGAACGCUGGCGGCGUGCUUAACACAUGCAAGUCGAACGAUGAACCCGGAGCUUGCUCUGGGGGAUUAGUGGCGAACGGGUGAGUAACACGUGAGUAACCUGCCCUGGACUCUGGGAUAAGCGUUGGAAACGACGUCUAAUACCGGAUAGGACCUUGGAUCGCAUGAUCUGGGGUGGAAAGUUUUUUCGGUCUGGGAUGGACUCGCGGCCUAUCAGCUUGUUGGUGAGGUAAUGGCUCACCAAGGCGUCGACGGGUAGCCGGCCUGAGAGGGUGACCGGCCACACUGGGACUGAGACACGGCCCAGACUCCUACGGGGGGCAGCAGUGGGGAAUAUUGCACAAUGGGCGAAAGCCUGAUGCAGCAACGCCGCGUGCGGGAUGACGGCCUUCGGGUUGUAAACCGCUUUUAGUAGGGAAGAAGGGCUUCGGCUUGACGGUACCUGCAGAAAAAGGACCGGCUAACUACGUG